CAGGUACAGAGGGCAGCUACCCAGCGAUGGGAUGCGAAUCUCGAAAGCCUGUCUCAGUUCGGAUUGGAGGCUGAAACCCGCCUCCAUGAAGUUGGAUUCGCUAGUAAUCGCGCAUCAGCCAUGGCGCGGUGAAUACGUUCCCGGGCCUUGUACACACCGCCCGUCAAGCCAUGGAAGCUGGGGGUGCCUGAAGUUCGUGACCGGAAGGAGCGACCUAGGGCAAAACCGGUGACUGGGGCUAAGUCGUAACAAGGUAAC
rnacentral:rRNA from 1 species